AUGUCAAAUCAUCAUGCCCCUUAUGCCUUGGGCAUCAAACGUGCUACAAUGGCCCUAACAGAGUGACGCGAGGCCGCGAGGCGGAGCAAACCACGAAAAAGGGUCCCAGUUCGGAUUGCAGCCUGCAACUCGGCUGCAUGAAGUUGGAAUCGCUAGUAAUCGCGGAUCAGCACGCCGCGGUGAAUACGUUCCCGGGUCUU
rnacentral:rRNA from 1 species